UCCAUGCCCCCAAAAAUAAAGUGCACAACUUCUCUAUUAUUUGAAUUUCCAGGAUAAGACGAACCAAUUGGCAACCAUGCUCAGCGCUACAAUGCUUCUGAAAUACGGACUUGGAGAAGAAAAGGCAAUAAAGAGGAUUGAAGUUGCAGUGUUGGUUGCUCUGAAAAACGGUUUCAGAACUGGAGACGUUUACUAUGUGGGAACAGAUGAUUGUAUGUCGAAUGCUUUUUACUUUAGAUGUUCAGUGGAUCUAGUACAGCCUUGUGCUGCUGGUCCGAUAGAGCAAGCUACUUGCCCAUUUUGUCUUGGUAAAGUCUUAACCUUUAAAUUA